GACGAACCGUGCGAACGUUGUUCGGAAUCACUGGGCUUAAAGGGCGCGUAGGCGGGUUCGCAAGUCUGUGGUGAAAGCCUCCAGCUUAACUGGAGAAGUGCCAUGGAUACUGCGCAUCUUGAGGAGGGUAGGGGCGUCUGGAACGGUCGGUGGAGCGGUGAAAUGCGUUGAUAUCGACCGGAACUCCGGUGGCGAAGGCGGCUUACUAGACGACAACUGACGCUGAGGCGCGAAAGCUAGGGGAGCAAACAGG
rnacentral:rRNA from 1 species